GAUGAACGCUGGCGGCGUGCCUAAUACAUGCAAGUCGAGCGAACGGACGAGAAGCUUGCUUCUCUGAUGUUAGCGGCGGACGGGUGAGUAACACGUGGAUAACCUACCUAUAAGACUGGGAUAACUUCGGGAAACCGUAGCUAAUACCGGAUAAUAUUUUGAACCGCAUGGUUCAAAAGUGAAAGACGGUCUUGCUGUCACUUAUAGAUGGAUCCGCGCUGCAUUAGCUAGUUGGUAAGGUAACGGCUUACCAAGGCAACGAUGCAUAGCCGACCUGAGAGGGUGAUAGGCCACACUGGAACUGAGACACGGUCCAGACUCCUACGGGAGGCAGCAGUAGGGAAUCUUCCGCAAUGGGCGAAAGCCUGACGGAGCAACGCCGCGUGAGUGAUGAAGGUCUUCGGAUCGGAAAACUCUGUUAUUAGGGAAGAACAUAUGUGUAAGUAACUGUGCACAUCUUGACGGUACCUAAUCAGAAAGCCACGGCUAACUACGUG
rnacentral:rRNA from 1 species